rnacentral:rRNA from 1 species
UGGCGAACGGGUGAGUAAUACAUCGGAACGUGCCCAAUCGUGGGGGAUAACGUAGCGAAAGCUACGCUAAUACCGCAUACGAUCUACGGAUGAAAGCGGGGGAUCGCAAGACCUCGCGCGAGUGGAGCGGCCGAUGGCAGAUUAGGUAGUUGGUGAGGUAAAGGCUCACCAAGCCGACGAUCUGUAGCUGGUCUGAGAGGACGACCAGCCACACUGGGACUGAGACACGGCCCAGACUCCUACGGGAGGCAGCAGUGGGGAAUUUUGGACAAUGGGCGCAAGCCUGAUCCAGCAAUGCCGCGUGCAGGAUGAAGGCCUUCGGGUUGUAAACUGCUUUUGUACGGAACGAAACGGUGAGCUCUAAUACAGUUUGCUAAUGACGGUACCGUAAGAAUAAGCACCGGCUAACUACGUGCCAGCAGCCGCGGUAAUACGUAGGGUGCGAGCGUUAAUCGGAAUUACUGGGCGUAAAGCGUGCGCAGGCGGUUAUGUAAGACAGAUGUGAAAUCCCCGGGCUCAACCUGGGAACUGCAUUUGUGACUGCAUAGCUAGAGUACGGUAGGGGGGGAUGGAAUUCCGCGUGUA